rnacentral:tRNA from 1 species
GCGCCGGGUCGCAGAGGCGAUUAUCGAUCGGCCACAACUGGUGGUCGAGAAGUCCAUCAGCGAAGUCGCGCGGGCGUGCGACACCUCUGAGGCGUC